rnacentral:lncRNA from 1 species
AAACAAUUCAGUCUUUCUCCAAAACCAAGUGAGAGUAAGGAAAAUGGUGCAGAGGGAAACACACCGAGAAAGGUACAGAGGAUGAUUUUUGUGACAGAAUAAUGUGUGAGAUAUCAACAGAGACAUCUUCCAAAUGUACACACUGGUGUGGUGUCUAGAGUCUCAAAGGUCUUGGCUGUUAAAAUAGACGAAGUUGCCCUCUUGAUGAAAGACAAGAGACUUGCUGUGAAUGCUUGUGUUCCUGAAAUAGUUUAUAUCAUCUGCUACCCUUUAUGAGGCAUUUCAGAAAUGAAGAAAUCAAUUUU